rnacentral:rRNA from 1 species
GAUGAACGCUAGCGGCAGGCCUAAUACAUGCAAGUCGAACGGUAAGUAUUUUAGCAAUAGAAUACGAGAGUGACGUACGGGUGCGUAACACGUAUGCAACCUACCCUUUACAGGAGGAUAGCUCGGGGAAACUCGAAUUAACCCUCCAUGAGAUCAUAGAAUGGCAUCAUUUAGUGAUUAAAACUGAGGUGGUAAAGGAUGGGCAUGCGUCUGAUUAGUUAGUUGGCGGGGUAACGGCCCACCAAGACGAUGAUCAGUAGGGGAACUGAGAGGUUGAUCCCCCACACUGGCACUGAGAUACGGGCCAGACUCCUACGGGAGGCAGCAGUAGGGAAUAUUGGUCAAUGGAUGGAAGUCUGAACCAGCCAUGCCGCGUGCAGGAAGAAGGCCUUCUGGGUUGUAAACUGCUUUUGCCAGGGGAUAAAAAGACCGUGCGCGGUUAAUUGAAGGUACCUGGUGAAUAAGCCACGGCUAACUACGUGCCAGCAGCCGCGGUAAUACGGU